rnacentral:lncRNA from 1 species
GACUUUGACACGUCCCGCAACGACGUCGUGGAGGAGGAAGAGUUCGUGCAGGGGAUGAAGAAGUGGCUCAACGAGGCCAAGCGCAGCGUGCCAGCGGGCGGCGCCUUCUCCCACAAGUUUAUCAACGACUUCCACGAGGUAAUCUGCUCACCCUGGAGCCUCCAGUAGCUCAGGAAUUGUGCCCAGCAGAACACCUGACCUGACGGAUUGAGCGAAACUGUGCAGAGGACUAGGCAGGAGCACGACCAGCUGAUCGACAGGUCCGACGAAGCGGUGGAGAGCGUGGAGAACCCCGGGUGGUGCAUCACCAAGGCCGUGGCGCUCCUCCUCCUGGGCGCUGCCAUCGCUGCGGCGUUUGCUGACCCGCUCGUGGACACCGUCCACAACUUCUCCAACGCCACCCACAUCCCGUCCUUCUUCAUCUCGUUCAUCGCCCUCCCGCUGGCCACCAACUCCAGCGAGGCCGUCUCCGCCAUCAUCUUCGCCAGCAGGAAGAAGCAGCGGACCUGCUCCCUCACCUUCUCCGAGGUGCGUAUCGUUGCGUGCACCACUGACAGACACGGCGACUGCAUCCGAAGCUCCUUGCAUUGGCAACAAACACUGACGAGGGUGCUUUCAGGUGUACGGCGGCGUGACGAUGAACAACACGCUGUGCCUGGGCGUGUUCCUGGCGCUCAUCUACUUCCGGAACCUGACAUGGGACUUCUCGUCGGAGGUGCUCAUCAUCCUGGUCGUCUGCGUCGUCAUGGCCCUCUUCACCAGCUUCCGGACCACCUUCCCUCUCUGGACCUGCCUCGUCGCCUACGUGCUCUACCCUCUCUCGCUCGUCAUCGUCUACAUCCUCGACUACGUCUUCGGCUGGUCAUAGGCUCAUUGGCUCCCCAAGCGAACGCCUGUUUUUGG